rnacentral:rRNA from 1 species
GAUGAACGCUGGCGGCAUGCUUGACACAUGCAAGUUGAACGAAGAUUAGAAUCUUUUAGAUUAUAAUACUUAGUAGCGGACGGGUGAGUAACGCGUAAGAAUCUACCUUUAGGAAAAAGAUAACAAUUGGAAACGAUUGCUAAUAUUUUAUAUGCUGAGAAGUUAAAAGGAUUUCCGCCUAAAGAUGAGCUUGCGUCUGAUUAGCUAGUUGGUUAGGUAAAGGCUUACCAAGGCAAUUAUCAGUAGUUGGUCUGAGAGGAUGAUCAGCCACACUGGGACUGAGACACGGCCCAGACUCCUACGGGAGGCAGCAGUGAGGAAUUUUUCGCAAUGGGCGCAAGCCUGACGAAGCAAUGCCGCGUGAAGGAUGAAGACCUGCGGGUUGUAAACUUCUUUUAUUAGAGAAGAUUAUGACGGUAUCUAAUGAAUAAGCAUCGGCUAAAUAUGUGCCAGCAGCCGCGGUAAUACAUAUGAUGCAAGCGUUAUCCGGAAUGAUUGGGCGUAAAGCGUCUGUAGGUGGUUUAAAAAGUCAAUUGUCAAAGACUAAGGCUUAACCUUAGAUAGGCAGUUGAAACUUUUAGACUAGAGUAUGGCAGAGGUAGAGGGAAUUACUGGUGUAACGGUGAGAUGUGCAGAUAUCAGUAAGAACACCAAUGGCGAAAGCACUCUACUGGACCAAAACUGACACUCAGAGACGAAAGCCAAGGGAGCGAAUAGGAUUAGAUACCCUAGUAGUCUUAGCUGUAAACGAUGGAAACUAAAUAUUGCGUUUUAUAUGCAGUAUUGUAGCUAACGCGUUAAGUUUCCCGCCUGGNGAGUAUGUUCGCAAGGGUG